UACGUAGGGUGCGAGCGUUGUCCGGAUUUAUUGGGCGUAAAGAGCUCGUAGGCGGUUUGUCGCGUCGGCCGUGAAAUCUCCACGCUUAACGUGGAGCGUGCGGUCGAUACGGGCAGACUUGAGUUCGGUAGGGGAGACUGGAAUUCCUGGUGUAGCGGUGAAAUGCGCAGAUAUCAGGAGGAACACCGGUGGCGAAGGCGGGUCUCUGGGCCGAUACUGACGUGAGGAGCGAAAGCGUGGGGGAGCGAACAGG
rnacentral:rRNA from 1 species